rnacentral:rRNA from 1 species
AUUGAACGCUGGCGGCAGGCUUAACACAUGCAAGUCGAGCGGAGCGAGGGUGCUUGCACCUUAGCUUAGCGGCGGACGGGUGAGUAAUGCUUAGGAAUCUGCCUAUUAGUGGGGGACAACAUUCCGAAAGGAAUGCUAAUACCGCAUACGCCCUACGGGGAAAAGCAGGGGAUCUCCGGACCUGCCGCUAAUAGAUGAGCCUAGGUCGGAUUAGCAAGUUGGUGGGGUAAAGGCCUACCAAGGCGACGAUCUGUAGCGGGUCUGAGAGGAGGAUCCGCCACACUGGGACUGAGACACGGCCCAGACUCCUACGGGAGGCAGCAGUGGGGAAUAUUGGACAAUGGGCGGAAGCCUGAUCCAGCCAUGCCGCGUGUGUGAAGAAGGCCUUUUGGUUGUAAAGCACUUUAAGCGAGGAGGAGGCUACUUAGAUUAAUACUCUGGGAUAGUGGACGUUACUCGCAGAAUAAGCACCGGCUAACUCUGUGCCAGCAGCCGCAGUAACAC